rnacentral:rRNA from 1 species
AGAGUUUGAUCAUGGCUCAGGAUGAACGCUAGCGGCAGGCCUAACACAUGCAAGUCGAGGGGCAGCACAAAGAUAGCCUGCUAUUUUGGUGGCGACCGGCGCACGGGUGCGUAACGCGUAUGCAAUCUACCUUAUACUGGGGUAUAGCCCGAAGAAAUUCGGAUUAAUCCCCCAUAGUACUGAUAUACCUCAUGGUAAUUCAGUUAAAGUUUCGGCGGUAUGAGAUGAGCAUGCGUCCUAUUAGCUAGAUGGUAAGGUAACGGCUUACCAUGGCUACGAUAGGUAGGGGGCCUGAGAGGGUGACCCCCCACACUGGUACUGAGACACGGACCAGACUCCUACGGGAGGCAGCAGUGAGGAAUAUUGGUCAAUGGGCGCAAGCCUGAACCAGCCAUGCCGCGUGCAGGAAGAAUGCCCUAUGGGUUGUAAACUGCUUUUAUUUAGGAAUAAACCUUUCUACGUGUAGAAAGCUGAAGGUACUGAAUGAAUAAGCACCGGCUAACUCCGUGCCAGCAGCCGCGGUAAUACGGAGGGUGCAAGCGUUAUCCGGAAUCAUUGGGUUUAAAGGGUCCGCA